rnacentral:rRNA from 1 species
UGUCUCAAAGAUUAAGCCAUGCAUGUCUAAGUUCACCCCCUCGGACGGGUAAACCGCGAAUGGCUCAUUAAAUCAGUCGAGGUUCCUUAGAUGACACGACCCCCCACUCGGAUAACUGUGGCAAUUCCAGAGCUAAUACGUGCCUCGCAAGCCCCGACCCCCUCGCGGGGGAAGGGGCGCUUUUAUUAGUUCAAAACCGGUGGCGCAGCCCCUUCGCGGGGGCUCGCCCUCCCGCUGGUGACUCUGGAUAACUUUGCGCUGAUCGCACGGCCCCCGCGCCGGCGACGCAUCUUUCAAAUGUCUGCCCUAUCAAAUGUCGACGGUACGUGACAUGCCUACCGUGUUGGCGACGGGUGACGGGGAAUCAGGGUUCGGUUCCGGAGAGGGAGCACGAGAAACGGCUACCACAUCCAAGGAAGGCAGCAGGCGCGCAACUUACCCACUCCCGGCACGGGGAGGUAGUGACGAAAAAUAACAAUACGGGACUCUUCAUGAGGCCCCGUAAUUGGAAUGAGCGCAGUCUAAACCCUUGGGCGAGGACCCAUUGGAGGGCAAGUCUGGUGCCAGCAGCCGCGGUAAUUCCAGCUCCAAUAGCGUAUAUUAAAGUUGUUGCAGUUAAAAAGCUCGUAGUUGGAUCUCGGGAGCAGGCGGGCGGUCCGGCUCGCGCCGGUUCGCCGCCCGUUCACCUGCCCCACCCCUGCCGGCUCCCUCCCGGCGGUGCUCUUCGCUGAGCGUCCCGGGUGGCCGGCGCGUUUACUUUGAAAAAAUUAGAGUGUUCAAGGCGGGCCCGCCGCGCCCGAAUAACUGCGCAUGGAAUAAUGGAAUAGGACCUCGGUUCUAUUUUGCUGGUUUUCGGAAUCCGAGGUAAUGAUUGACGGGGACAAACGGGGGCAUUCGUAUUGCGGCGUUAGAGGUGAAAUUCUUGGAUCC